rnacentral:rRNA from 1 species
UGUGUAGCCAAGGUAGAAGGCGAGCAUAUAUUGCGUGCCUUCGAAAUGGGUGCAGAGGGAGUUUUCAUCGCUGGCUGCGGGGAACAGUGUUCCAGAGAAAACACUGCCUCUUGGGUUGACCAGCGUGUUGCAAAGGUCAGAAAAACCCUGGUGCAGAUCGGUCUUGAGCCAGAACGGCUUCAGGCCUUUGUUCCAAGCACCACCAAUGAGGACCCGACCAAGGAACUCGAUAAGUUUGCAGAACGAAUAGGUGCGCUCUAUUUGGCCUCGGUAAUAAUGCAGGAGGUGAAAAGUUGAUAGUUGCAGAGCAAAAGCCUCUAGAAGAGAUCAGGCGAAUGAUUGCGCCUUAUGAUAGGGUGUUGAUCCUUGGUUGCGGAACCUGCAUGACGGU